ACAAUAUUCGGACAGUCGGUCUACCGAGCAAUAUCACUCGCUCGAUGGAAGAUCAUUCCUUUCGUCUU
rnacentral:pre_miRNA from 1 species